rnacentral:rRNA from 1 species
GACGAACGCUGGCGGCGUGCCUAAUACAUGCAAGUCGAGCGGGGUURNKUAGAAGCUUGCUUCUACAYAACCUAGCGGCGGACGGGUGAGUAACACGUAGGCAACCUGCCCACAAGACAGGGAUAACUACCGGAAACGGUAGCUAAUACCCGAUAYAUCCUUUUCCUGCAUGGGAGAAGGAGGAAAGACGGAGCAAUCUGUCACUUGUGGAUGGGCCUGCGGCGCAUUAGCUAGUUGGUGGGGUAAAGGCCUACNAAGGCGACGAUGCGUAGCCGACCUGAGAGGGUGAUCGSCCACACUGGGACUGAGACACGGCCCAGACUCCUACGGGAGGCAGCAGUAGGGAAUCUUCCGCAAUGGGCGAAAGCCUGACGGRGCAACGCCGCGUGAGUGAUGAAGGUUUUCGGAUCGUAAAGCUCUGUUGCCAGGGAA